CCUACGGGUGGCAGCAGUGGGGAAUAUUGGGCAAUGGGCGCAAGCCUGACCCAGCAACGCCGCGUGAAGGAAGAAGGCCUUCGGGUUGUAAACUUCUUUUCUCAGGGACGAAAAAAGUGCCGGUACCGCAGGAAUAAGCCACGGCAAACCGCGUCCCAGCGGCCGCGGAAAUACGAAGGUGGCAAGCGUAAUUCGGAUUUACUGGGUGGAAAGGGCGUGUAGGCGGGAUGGAAAGUCAGAUGUGAAAACCAGGGGCUCAACCUGUGACCUGCGUUUGAAACUGCAGUUCUUGAGUUCUGGAGAGGUAGACGGAAUUCCUGGUGUAGCGGUGAAAUGCGUAGAUAGCAGGAGGAACACCAGUGGCGAAGGCGGUCUACUGGACAGCAACUGACGCUGAGGCACGAAAGCGUGGGGAGCAAACAGGAUUAGAUACCCUUGUAGUC
rnacentral:rRNA from 1 species